AGAGGGUUGGCUGAGUCUGGCUAAAAGCGACUCCUUGCUAAUGAGUUAGGGGGCUGAAAAGUUCCCUCAUCCGUCCGAAUCGGAUACCCUCUGCCA
rnacentral:tRNA from 1 species